GUCCACGCUGUAAACGAUGGGCACUAGGUGUCCUGGGUAUUGACCCCCUGGGUGCCGCAGCUAACGCAUUAAGUGCCCCGCCUGGGGAGUACGAUCGCAAGAUUAAAACUCAAAGGAAUUGACGGGGGCCCGCACAAGCGGUGGAGCAUGUGGUUCAAUUCGACGCAACGCGAAGAACCUUACCUGGGCUAGACAACGGUGGACCGUCCUAGAAAUAGGAUCUUCCCUUCGGGGACUGCCGGUUCAGGUGCUGCAUGGCUGUCGU
rnacentral:rRNA from 1 species